GAUGUGGGCUGGAAACGUCUGGCGCGCCUCGCUCUUUGGAGUGCCCUGCAGACGCCCUGCGCAGUCAGCGCUGGCUCAGCUGCGCGGCAUUCUGGAGGGGGAGAUGGAAGGGAUCCGCGAAGCUGGCAGCUGGAAGAGUGAGAGGGUCAUCAUGUCCCGUCAGGGGCCGCACAUCCACGUGGGCGGCGUCUCCAGAGGAAUCCUUAACUUCUGUGCCUACAACUAUCUGCGCCUGAGCAGCCACCCCGAGGUGAUCCAGGCAGGUCUGCAGGCUCUGGAGGAGUUUGGAGCUGGCCUUAGCUCUGUCCGCUUCAUCUGUGGAACACAGAGCGUUCACAAGAAUCUAGAAGCAAAAAUAGCCCGUUUCCACCAGCGGGAGGAUGCCAUCCUCUGUCUCAGUUGUUUUGAUGCCAACGCCGGUCUCUUUGAGGCCCUGCUGACCCCUGAGGACGCGGUCCUGUCGGACUAGCUGAACCACGCCUCCAUCAUCGACGGCAUCCGCCUGUGCAAGGCCAACAAGUACCGCUAUGGCCACCUGGACAUGGCUGACCUCGAAGCCAAGCUGCAGGAGGCCCAGAAACAUCGGCUGCGCCUGGUGGCCACCGAUGGAGUCUUUUCCAUGGAUGGCGACAUCGCACCCCUGCAGGAGAUCUGCCGCCUCGCCUCAAGAUAUGGCGCCCUGGUCUUUGUGGAUGA